UUGUUGAUAGGGUCAAAACUAAGUGGAUUUUAUGAUUAGAAACAUCUAUAUCAAUCAACUUCCCUGUCUUUGAUGAUAUUACAAUGCAUUUCUUCUCUUCAGCCUGCGGAACAAAGUUCCAUUAUAUCAUUAUGAUUUUUACGAAUAACUUACCGUAAAUAAUAUAACUUUGAUUGCUUGGUAAGUGUUUGAAAGAAUGUCGUUAACGUUCGGUGUUUGUUAUAGGGCAGCAGCUAGAACAUCUGUAGUGGAUUCUGAAAGAGUUACUUUUCAAAAAGAGUCUUUGAAGUUUCUAAAUGCAGCUGUCCUAAAUGGAAAUGAGAACGCAGAAGUGAUGUCCAGUCUUGGACUCGAAAAUGCAAUUCAAAGGAAUCUAGAUGUGGCUUAUCAGAAUAUAAUGUUCCGGCUUAGUGUCAUUUCGGCCAUGGUAAUGGUAACACCCUGUAUUAACAAAUCACUAAUAUGAAAUUACGCGAUCAUGGUAAUGGCAGGGAAGUUGUUUGAGUGUGUACUUCUUCUGAAUGCUUUUCCCUUUUCUCAACUCAAUGUAGCCUUUCAGUGACAUUCUUUGUUGUUUAGUAACAGUGAAAGUUUACUCUAAUGAGACUUAUUGUUAUCAGGCAGAGAAGUUUUUGUCUACAACCCUUGGGUCUGAAUCUGGUGUCAAUGCUAUCUUUACUAAUGGAAGGUGGAGAGGACUCGCAGGAUUCCCAGGUUCCUUGCUUACUUAGAAGGUUACAUGAGUCGCAACCGCCUGAUUCUUCAACUGGUCUAUCUGAAGAAGAAGAUAGAGCAUCACUAAAGCUAUCCUAAAGGCUUACUUAUAGCCUUCAAAAUAAAGAGCAUUUCAGAGGAAGUUCCUUCAGACUAAAGAUGUUGUUGCUGUUAAACCUCAACUUCUUCAAGUCCCUCCGCGGAUGCUUAUGGAUGAUGAACACGUAAAUGAAAACUCAAACUACUCACCAUCCCACUUUUGCAGUGUCUAUCAUGGACAUGGGGGCUUUAAUCCGUUUCGAAAUAAUUCGGGAGACAUGCGGAAGUAGGUUUGGUUUAAGCUUCCAAAUUGGUGGCUUUGUAUUCUGUUUUAAGGCUCCAAAUAGUUGAACUCAUUGUUAGAAUGCUCGACCAAAUUAGAGGCAACACUGUUUUGGAGAAACAUCAAUGUCAAGGCAAUUUAGAAUUUUUUUGAUUGGGUCUAUUAUUCUUGGAGAUAAUUAUGCAAUAUUGAUUUCAUUACGUGUACUACGUAUUAUACUU